CCUACGGGGGGCAGCAGUAGGGAAUAUUGCUCAAUGGGGGAAACCCUGAAGCAGCAACGCCGCGUGGAGGAUGAAGGUUUUCGGAUUGUAAACUCCUUUUGUUAGAGAAGAUAAUGACGGUAUCUAACGAAUAAGCACCGGCUAACUCCGUGCCAGCAGCCGCGGUAAUACGGAGGGCGCAAGCGUUACUCGGAAUCACUGGGCGUAAAGAGCGCGUAGGCGGGAUAGCAAGUCAGAUGUGAAAUCCUAUGGCUUAACCAUAGAACUGCAUUUGAAACUGUUAUUCUAGAGUAUGGGAGAGGUAGGUGGAAUUCUUGGUGUAGCGGUAAAAUGCGUAGAGAUCAAGAGGAAUACUGAUGGCGAAGGCGACCUGCUAGAACAUAACUGACGCUGAGGCGCGAAAGCGUGGGGAGCAAACAGGAUUAGAUACCCUUGUAGUC
rnacentral:rRNA from 1 species